UGCUCAGUUGCGAUUUAAUAUUCGGUUAGUUUGGACGUGUCAAAUAAAGUUGGCAAUAAACGAAUUUGCAAUAAACAAAUGUGUCCAUUCACGACGACGACGACGACAACACGCUAACUGUUUCGUAGGCAAUUCAACAUACUCGUACUAACAGUGGUCGGUCAGACGCUUUGCGAGAUGCCAACCGGAGAGUUGUGUGUUACGGUCUAUUUAGUGUGAAAAUUAAGUAAUUUCAAAUUUCCGGUUACUAGUGUUCUACGGAAGUAAAACUGGUUGUUUGACAUAGGAAAAAUUAAAAUUAGAAAAAAAAUUCUCAGUGUUUUUGAUGAAAAUUUAAUUUUUGUGAAUUUUUAACAAUUUUCGUGCGUGUGUCUCAUUGUUGUUGCAUACAAAAAUUUUAACCUUCACCAAUUCUAGUUUUGGAAAGUGUAAAGUGUUAUAAAUUAUUAAAAAAAAAAUUAAAAAUAAAAACAAUUUGAAAAUUAAUACUCAUUACAACAACAGCAAAAAAUUAUUAUUUGUAAAUUGUAAUAAAGUUUGUUCUGCUGUGGUAGCUGUUUGAGGAAUUGAUAUACAAAAAAGAUUAUUAAUUCAAUUUCGAGGACGUAACAACAGCGCACACGAGUAUAUAGAUAUUGUCUAUAUGUAUGUGUAAAUUUACAUACAAACGGCGACAUAUUGACAGCUGAACCGUUAGACACAUUGGCAAAAGGGUGCCUAAAGAGGAGGUGCCUGAAAGCAAAAGGAAGUGACGACAGUUGUGGCACUUUCGCCAACACGACGCGUCUGUAAUAGAGAGCGAACAGAAAUAAAACAAAAACUGAAGAGAUACAUAUACUUGUAGGUGUGUAUGUAUGUAAAAAAGGCGGGAAAGGAGUAAAACAGCGAAAAACGAAAGCGACCAAGCGUUGAAACAGCAACGUUGACAGGCGUAGCGGCGACACAAUUGAAAAGGCGCACUCACAAACAUAUAUAUAGAGGCAGAAAGAUCGAGUGGGAGUCGCGCAUAAACCACAAAAAGGUGGCAGGCAACCGCUAACGGCAACAAGCAACAACUGUGGAAUGACAUAGAAACAGGUAAUGAAAUCACCAAAUAAUAUUCAAAACUGGAUGAGUUCCACAUUUCCUAAAUUUGAAGUUAUUAAUUAUUGAGUCGUAAACGUAGACAAACCUUCCUCUACCAACACAUACACUUAUACAUAUGCAGA